rnacentral:rRNA from 1 species
AUACGAAAGUUGCAAGCGUUGUUCGGAUUUACUGGGCGUAAAGAGAGUGUAGGUUGUUUAUUAAGUCGGAUGUGAAAUCCCGGGGCUCAACCUCGGAACUGCAUUCGAUACUGAUAGGCUAGAGUUUGGGAGGGGUAAGCGGAAUUCCGUGUGUAGCAGUGAAAUGCGUAGAUAUACGGAGGAACACCUGAGGCGAAGGCGGCUUACUGGACCAAUACUGACACUGAGACUCGAAAGCGUGGGUAGCAAACAGGAUUAGAUACCCUAGUAGUCC